rnacentral:rRNA from 1 species
ACUAAUGGGAUACUUAGUACGGCGAGUGAAGCGGUAAAAGCUCAAAUUUGAAAUCUGGUACUUUCAGUGCCCGAGUUGUAAUUUGUAGAAUUUGUCUUUGAUUAGGUCCUUGUCUAUGUUCCUUGGAACAGGACGUCAUAGAGGGUGAGAAUCCCGUUUGGCGAGGAUACCUUUUCUCUGUAAGACUUUUUCGAAGAGUCGAGUUGUUUGGGAAUGCAGCUCAAAGUGGGUGGUAAAUUCCAUCUAAAGCUAAAUAUUGGCGAGAGACCGAUAGCGAACAAGUACAGUGAUGGAAAGAUGAAAAGAACUUUGAAAAGAGAGUGAAAAAGUACGUGAAAUUGUUGAAAGGGAAGGGCAUUUGAUCAGACAUGGUGUUUUUUGCAUGCACUCGCCUCUCGUGGGCUUGGGCCUCUCAAAAAUUUCACUGGGCCAACAUCAAUUCUGGCAGCAGGAUAAAUCAUUAAGAAUGUAGCUACUUCGGUAGUGUUAUAGCUUUUUGGAAUACUGUUAGCCGGGAUUGAGGACUGCGCUUCGGCAAGGAUGUUGGCAUAAUGGUUAAAUGCCGCCCGUCUUGACCCACGGGACCA